UCUAUCUUUUUUAACAGAAAUGAACCUUAAUUUUCUUGUAACACGGAUUUUCUUAGUUUUUCUAACAUUCAGUUGUCCUCAGAAGUAUAUUUCCUCAGUGAUUUUUUCGAAUCGGAAGAGCCAAGCAAGCAAAUAGUUUAAUUUGCACAGAGAGCAUCACAAUUUCAACUUUCAACGACAAAAAAGGGUUUGCUAAGCAUGCCUUGUCCUCGCCCGAAUUCGAACUUCUACAGGUACAAGCAGUUCUAAACAUUAUCCAAUUGUUUUUGCAGUUUUGCCAGUGGAGAGAAGACACAUGGUAAAAUCAUCGUAGCAGUUAUAGGAAUUGAAUCCUUUUUCUAAUUUAUCAUAUCUAACACUUUUCUUCUUCUUCUCGACAAGAGGGUUGGUAAUCGUUAUGGAAGUAACUGCAAUCUAUCAUCGCUGUGAAUUGAAUUUCUGAUAUGGAAGACGUGGAGUGACGUCGUUUAACCGAUGCUCUUACUUAUUCAACUCUUAAAUGUGUGUUCGUUCUCACUUUGAGCUUUCCUAAACCCUUCGAUUGAUGCUUCAAUUGCCUACUCGGUACUCAGCCUGGAAGCAAUUCUUGCAAGUACUGUUGCAUCGGUGUAGCUUGUGGCAGCGGAUGGGAGAAGCCUUGUAUGACGGAAAGAGUGACAAAAAUAGCAGGAAGAACACAAGGGUCUUAGCUGGUCUCAUUGCUCUCAACAAAAAUGCUUAUAGACAACAGGUACACUCUCAAAUCAGUUCCAUUAACACACUCAGCUAUAUAUAAGAAAUCAGCAAGCUUCUUAUCCUCUUAAAUCUAGGAUUCUUCUUAUCAAGGUUUUAAAUUGUGGAAGGAAUGUGUUCACGGUGAAUCCAAAAACCUUAGGCUAUAGACCGGUUUUGGAAACCAUGUUUCUAAUUGGUCGAUCAUCGUUUCAAAAGUGUAAUGUAGUCCCAUUGAAUUUCGUCUUGCUUUAUCUCUGAUCAUGAAUAAACUUAGUUGUCUUUCAAUGGUAUAAGUUAGGGUAUCGUUUCUUUAUUUUUGCACAAAUAUGGCAAUCUUCCUGUGCAUUCUGAUGCCAUAUUCCUAUUUCAAUAAUUCUACUUUACAGAUCUUCUGCAGGAGUAGCCAAAACAGGGUUUAUUCGGUCAAUGUAUUGGUAGUAUCGUACACUCAAAACCAUUAGCGAUUCCCCUCCUCUCUUUUCUCUCCCCCUCUCUGAGUAGAUAAUUAUAUUCUGGCCUCUUCCAAUGAAUUAUUCUGGUUAUUUUGUACUUUUGCAAGGCAUUAAGGAUGGUUAGGCUCUUACCAUUUCUCGAACUUGCACAUGCCCAGUUUUUGCUUCUUGAAACUUGAUCAUAUUGUGACAGCUAAUUUUUUUAAACUAUAAACUAAUUUACUCGUGUUUAUUUCACAGAGUGGCCUGUAUUUGGUGCUAAACGUUAUUUGUUCAGUCUGCUACUUUAUUUAACUUGAUGAAAUUAUGCAGGAACAAGUCCUAUUGUUCAUUGGCUGUCAGAAACAAGUCCUAUUGUUCUAGAGGUUUAAUUACAUUAUUCUUGGUUUCCUGAAUUACCAGAUUGUUGAAAGUUAUUAUCAUUGAGAAUUUUAAAAUAUCUUCAAAUUUUAUCUUCUAAUGUUUCAUAUGGCUGUUUUUGUUUGAUAUCAAAACUUAUCAGUAAGAUUCUUUAUACGGCUCAAAAGAAAACACCAAAUAUGCCUCUGUCUGACAGAAAAACUAUUCAAAUGUUAUUCACUUUUAACUAUACUGUUGGAGUGAUAUGAGUCUUGAUAACUGAUUCAAACUAAUAAAAAAAUUGGAAGUUAGAUAACCAACUUGAUACACUCGAGUAUUCUACAAGCGCACCCUUUCUUGUAUCAUAAGCUAUUGCUAUUUGGUUAUUUAGGAUUUAACUCCUCAAGUAAUUUAAGUAGAGUUUAGAGCAAGAAAGAGAAAAAACAAUCCAUUGUCGAUUUAAACUAAAGUAUUUUGUAAUCGUAAUAUACUCACUUUCUCAAUUUACUUGCAGCAACUAAAUCUUGUAAUUGGGAAACCUUUUUGCAUUUUUGUUUUCAUUCUUGGAAAUGCACUUGAAAAGAUAUAUACUGUGUGGGUAAUUUAUUGAAUUGAUAGCUAGACAAGUAAAGGAUCCACUAAAAUGAUGUUAAUUAGAACUGUUUAAACCUGUGGAGGUAGCAUAAUUCAGGUGAUUGUAAAACAGGCCCCUCUCCACACGCACACCAAAAAUUAACAUGGACAUUUAUUUUAUUUUAUUUUUUUUCUGAAUAAGGCGUGCUAUUCGCAUUUCAUGAUGCUGUGCCAGGCUUUUCCAUUUUUUUGGUGGGGGCAGGUUAUUGCUGCUGUUGAUUCACGUUCAUACUCGGCUUGUCAAUCAAAGAAAUCUUUAGAUUUUUAUUCGUACUUGGGAUUGCUUGUGGGUGAGAGAGGAAUAAGAAACUAAAUUAAGCCUACGAGGCAAGAUAAGAAGUGUGGCUCCACUACUACUGUAGGCACCACACGAUUAAGAUUCGUUGUCUGCUCGUUGCAUUCCUAAAACUUUAACUCUAAAAAUAUUUUCUACAUUGAAAUUGGACAUAACAACAUGUGAUAAACGGAGGCAAAAUAUCUGUUUCAUGAACUCGUGUUGCUUUUCAUGUUGAAAUUCUGAUUGAUGGUGGAUUCUAAAAGGAUCGUGGGCUUAUUCCCUUUGUAAAAAAAAGAUUAAUAUAUUAUUUGUUUAAUGAAGUCAACAAGGCCUAGGCCGAAAUAAUGGAAAUGAAGAGACAAUUUUGGCUUUAGAAGAAGAGAGCAGGGGUGGUGAAGGAUUUGAAUUGGAUGCAAUGUAUUUGGCAUUUGGCGUUAAAGAGAAAGAAAACGAAAGCGUAGAAGAGAAAAAGAGAGAGCUGGUCCCAGUUGUUUGUUUGACGGUGGCGUGUCGUAUGUAACAUCUUACAAUAUGUUAGCCUAUGCCUAUCUAUCCGUGAACGGCUAUAUAUCAAAAACUUCAAUUAUUCUUGUUCACAAUCUGCUCGAUAAAACAAAACUUGUAAACAAGCACGAGAGCUAUCUUUGAUACCUUCAUAAAUAAAGCUAACAUGUGUCGUUAUCAAGAUCUAUUCCAUCAUGGUGACCAUAUCACACUCGUUAUGCUAAGCUUGUAUAAUUUUUUCUCCUUUUGCUUAUGUUCUUCUUUAAUUCCCCCCGUCUCCGCCACUCUUCAAUCCGUGAAUAGAUUGCAUCGCGUGCAGGAUACAGAGAACCAUUAACUCACGCACCUCAAAAUGGAUCGGAGAGUAGUUGAAAUACUCUUCCUAUUUAUAACCUCCUCUCCAUAUUUGGACAAGGCUUUUACCACCAUAUCCUCCUAAUUUCAAAAACCAUUUAUCUAUAAUUACUUUUCGAUCGAUUCCGGGAACAAAACAAGCCAAACCAAGUUUCUACACCAAUUCUUCGUUCCCGUUUAAAAACCUUAACCUAACAAUCUUCACUGCUGUACAUCUGUGAAAUCAAUGCACAUUCCUUCAACUAGAACAAACAAAAAUACAAGACAAAACGAGGAGUCAGAAUCAGAAUAUUAAAAAGAAGAUAGAAGUCUAU